rnacentral:rRNA from 1 species
CUUACUACCCUGAGCACACGUUUUUUCAUGUGAUUUCAGAAACUAAAUAGGGUCAGGCCUGGUUAGUGCUUGGAUGGGAGAUCACCAGAGAAACCAUAAGCCUAAGC